UACAGAGGUGGCAAGCGUUGUUCGGAAUUACUGGGCGUAAAGGGCGCGUAGGCGGUCUUUUAAGUUCCGUGUGAAAUCCCUCGGCUCAACUGGGGAACUGCACGGGAAACUGGAAGGCUUGAGUUCGGGAGAGGGAAGCGGAAUUCCGGGUGUAGCGGUGAAAUGCGUAGAUAUCCGGAGGAACACCGGUGGCGAAGGCGGCUUCCAUGGACCGACACUGACGCUGAGGCGCGAAAGCUAGGGGAGCAAACGGG
rnacentral:rRNA from 1 species